AGAGCGAACGCUGGCGGCAGGCCUAACACAUGCAAGUCGAGCGCCCGUAGCAAUACGGGAGCGGCAGACGGGAUAGUAACACGUGGGAACGCGCCCUUCGGUUCGGAAUAACUCAGGGAAACUUGAGCUAAUACCAGAUACGCCCUUACGGGGAAAGAUUUAUUGCCGAAGGAACGGCCCGCGUCCGAUUAGCUAGUUGGUGAGGUAAUGGCUCACCAAGGCGACGAUCGGUAGCUGGUCUGAGAGGAUGACCAGCAUCACUGGGACUGAGACACGGCCCAGACUCCUACGGGAGGCAGCAGUGGGGAAUAUUGGACAAUGGGCGCAAGCCUGAUCCAGCCAUGCCGCGUGGAUGAUGAAGGCCUUAGGGUUGUAAAGUCCUUUUAACGGGGAAGAUAAUGACGGUACCCGUAGAAUAAGCCCGGCUAACUUCGCGCCAGCAGCCGC
rnacentral:rRNA from 1 species